GGUGGGAUGGCCGAGUGGUUGAAGGCGCCUGACUUGAAAUCAGGUAGACCCUCACGGGUCUCGUGGGUUCGAAUCCCACUCCCACCGCCA
rnacentral:tRNA from 1 species